rnacentral:rRNA from 1 species
GACAGAGGCCACAAGCGUUAGGCGGAAUCACUGGGCUUAAAGCGUGUGUAGGCGGAUGGCUAAGUGCCUUGUGAAAUCCCCCGGCUCAACCGGGAAUGGCUGGGCAUGACUGGUCGUCUUGAGCCACCUAGGGGCAACUGGAACGAACGGUGGAGCGGUGAAAUGCGUAGAUAUCGUUCGGAACGCCAACGGUGAAAACAGGUUGCUGGGGGUGUGCUGACGCUGAGACACGAAAGCCAGGGGAGCAAAGCGGG